GAAAUACGGAAAUAUGGCAAAUUGAAAUUUGGAAAAUGGAAUAUUGAUAGAUAUCUUAUUAUGGUAUGAUUAUCAAUCGUAUCCCUUGCAUUUAAUUUUGAGGAUUAUGUCGAUUUGAUCGUAUUAUGCUCAAUAUAUACUUGAUUCAUACAAUAUGAAUCAUUCUUUAUAGCAUCGUCUUCCAACAAUCAAGCAUCAUCGACAAUCAACGACUUUAAUUCUUCGGUAAAUUUCUGCUUCUCAGUUCUGCUUCUCAAUGUCUGUGUUAAUCAUAAUUGAAAAUUAUUUUUGUUACUUAAUGUGUAUGCGUGUGUGUGACAAUUUAACUGAUACCUUAUUCGUAUUUCACUAUGAGAUACCGUCAUAAAUAAGAACGAUCAAAAGAACAAUUAAAAACUUAUUUAACAAUCAUAAUUCGUCUUAAUAUGGUUCUGUAUAGGUUUAAUUUGCGCAUUAGAUAACAAAAAUUGAUUUUUCAAGUCAACUAUAUACAAUUUUCAUUCAUUUUAUGUUAGUAGUUUUAUGAUUUCAUCUUAAAUUCUAUAAUCAUCUAACAUCUCUGUAUCUAAUAAACAUCACUAUUUUGCAAAUGUAAAUUACCGAUUUUACCCCUUCUUUGUUUCACUAAGGCUGUCAAAUUCUCUGUAAUCUUCAUUUUCUAAACCUGAUAUGCUUGAUAUCAGAGACUCUAGGAGAAGCAGUAUACUGAAAUUGAUUUUUCAAGUCUACCUUAUUCACUCGUAUUGGCUUCCCAUACAGCUUAAUCGUGUUUAUAACUUUUAUUGCCUGCAAAUUUUAACAUCUUUAGAUAUUAAUUCCAAUUGUUAAGCAAUCUUUGUAAUUAUUAUGACUCUUAAUCAUUAACAACUAGAUUGACAGAAGAAUUACAGCAACAAACACUACUUACAUAAUCAGCAUCUUCUUCACUUCUGAACACUACAAAGCCAUAGCCUUGGUGGAGAUUAGUUACUCUAUCUUUAGGAACAUACACGUUAACUGAAGAAUAAGAAGAAAAAAUAUAAAUACAAAUUCAAGAUUAACCUUUGUAUGAUUUGUUUAAGCACUAAUUAAACCACACAAAAAAAAUGCAAAAGCAGAAGGAAACAAAAAUGUUUUUAGACACUACAUUACAAAAAAAAAGGGUAUAUGCAAAUGACGAAAAUGCCCUCACCAAACUUAUAGAAGAUAACUUUACAAAGCUUGUGUCGUAUCAUGUGGUUCCAUGGGAUAUGUGUGUCUAUUGAUGGUUUAAGAGAAAAAACAAUUAUGUUUUUAAAGAGUUUUAUUACCAAUAUAUGUUUUUAAUGUCUGUGUUGUUUUUUUCCAAUCAGUUUCUGCUUCUCAAUGUGUAUGCGUGUGUUAAUCAUAAUCAAAUUUUGUUUCUUCUUCUUAAUGUGUAUGCGUGUUUGUGACUGCUUUUUUUUGUAUAAUAUUUUAAGUUUUAUAUAUAUGUUAUCAUGAGGUUUGUGAUACAAUAUUUUACACAAUGAGCAAAACUGUCUUCAUGUGAGUUAUCAUUAAAUAGACUCUUCAUCAGUUGAAGUAUAUUGGUAAAUGAUAUGUUUAACUUGAUUGUCAUCUUCCAUUAUACAUGCGGUAGCAUCACAUGGCCUAAUAAUAAUGUGGUGUUGUGCUAAUGAAAAAGACAAUAGAAAAAUGACUGAAAGAAUAUGAUGAAAACCACAAUAAUGAAAGAAAUGUGAAAAUCACAAGUCAUGAUUGAUACAGAAUAAUUUGACGUGGUCCUUCUCUAACUCCUCCAGCUAGCUGUUAAGUUGCUUAUGUACAAUGCUCUUGAACUCAUUGAUAAGUCAUGUCAUACAUUCAUUGACUUGCUUUACAACAGGUGGAUACCUAACUAAUUGGGAGAUGUAUGCAUUUAUAGAUCAAUGGUUUUAGAUGAUUGAUUUGUGGGUGGUGAUAAAUCCCAUCUUACAUGCAAGUGUCUAUAUGGUGUGUUACAAUAUCUAUCUCAUAUGAUCUUUGUUCAUGAAACUAAUGUUUGGGAUUUGUUCUAGAAACAUCAAGAAAGUAGGUGUUUGUUCUCCGAAUUCUGUCAGAUUUGGCAGGAAUUAGAAAUAAAUUCAAUUAUGAAUGAUGUACAAGGGUAUAUAGUUUCUGUUAGCCUGUUGUUUCACUUAUCAUUAUUAUUUUUAAUUAUAAAUGAUGUACAGGGGUAUAUAGUUUAUGUUAGCAUGUUUCUUUCAGUUUUUGUUUUCUUUGUAUGAAUGUUUGAAUAUAACCAUAUUGCAUUAUUGAGUUUGUUCUUAUAUUAUUAGUACUCCAUAGACAUAAUGGUAAUUUUAUUUCUGUUUAUAAUUUUUGUGUGUACUUUUUUGUUAUAGUGACAAUGGCAGAUAGAAACAUCACUUUGAUUAAAUACUUGGACAACAUGAAGGAUGAUUACACACUAAAAGUGUCUAUCAUCCGGCUGUGGAGAUCACUUUCAGAUGGCAACCCCACUAUUGUCAAAUCAAUUGAGAUGAUACUCAUGGAUGAAAUGGUAAAAUCUACUAUUAUAAUAGCAUUAUUCAAAAUCAUUUUUUUGUUUAUUAGGGAGAUUCCAAUAAUAUUAUUCAAAAUCAUCCCCCCUAACAGUAUCCUUUCCAGCAAUGCUUAACUUUAUCUGAAAUAAUAAACAUUAUGCAUAUAGAAACAAUGUAAAAUAUCAGAGACUCUAGGAGAAGCAGUAUAUUGAAUUUUUUUUUGUUGUCUUCGAGUAAAUCUUAAAUGAAAACUUAUACAAUUUUAACCGGUAACACAAUAUUUAGCUUAAAUUCUUAUACAAUUCAAAUAUACAUACACAUAUGCAAAAGACUAAUAUGCCCUCGCCAACUCAUUCCAUGUGAUGUGUUAGGCUUUUUGAUACACACAUACCACUAUGACAUGUAUUAUGAUUCGAAAGAUCUUAAAAUAAAUCACAUUUAAGCAAAUUAUGCAGAUAAUCCGUAUUUUACAAAUAUAAAAUACCAUAUUUUACCAUUUAUUUGUUUCCCUUAGAAAUCAAUAUUGAAUAUGGAAAUUUUAAAUUUAAUAAUGAGUCCAAUAUGGAAUCCAUAUAACGUCCUUUUUUGGUUUCACAAAAUUAAUCUGCUACCAGCGGUACACAUUAACCAAAGUUAUCUAAUUACCCGAUUAAGAGCACCUUUUUAUGGUAUCCUUAUCAAUCAUAUCAAUACAUUUAAUUCUUAUUAUUAUGUCGAUUUAAUCAUAUUUUUGUCUGUAUAUAUUUGAAACAUAUGAUAAUCAGUAUUUCUUUACAGCAUUAUGUGGUUAUUGUGGAUCUGAAUAAUCUCACGUAAGUUGAAUUUCGAAUAUUCAAUUACAUAAUUCAAUCCCCAGGACACUCUCUGCAUCUCAAUUCUGCUUCUUAAUUUCGGAUAUUCAAUUACCGACUUCAAUCCUUCGGUAAGUUUCUCAUGAUUAUAUAUGAUUGCUUCUCAAUGUUUUUGUUAAUCGUAUAAUUGAAAAUUCUUUUCUUCUUCUGAAUUCUGCGACUUAAAUUCUGCUUCUCAUUGUUUUUGUUACUCUCAACAUCUGGUUGUUACUACCUACUGCUAAAGAUUGGCCAUUAGGAACGAUGAAAUACUUUUUACACCCGGUCCACUUUCAUAGGCUUGAUGUUUUGAUAGACGUUUUUCAUGUAAAGAUUGUAUCAAAACCUACAUGACUAAAAGAUGGAUGAACAUAUUAAGUGACAUGGAAUUAAAGGUUAACACUAAGUAAAUAGUAGAAGGGUAAUGCAAAAAAGAGAAUUUCGUAUUUAGUAAUAUUAACAACUAAAAAUGGUUCUGUUUAAGCGUACAUCAUAUCUUAUUUCCCUUUAAUUAAUAUGUUUUUGGUGUAAACCGGUUCAAAUCAAUGACAAAUAUGUAAUUCUGUCAAACAUGACAGAAAUGCCCCUUAAGAAAAAAUAGUACCUACCAGUCAAGUAAUACAAAAUACAAUCAACUAAUAAUAAAGAAGAAAAAAUAUAACAAAAAAACAGAAACAAAAAUGUAUUUCUAUAAAACGUGACAGAAAUGCCCACGAACUAAAAAAACAGAAAUAUAAAUUUUUAUUUCUAUUCGUAUUGGUUUUGAUUGUACUUUUAGCUUUCUUUGUGUAAUCCCUCAAUGAAUCUGAAAUACAAACAAAAUAAAGGCAAAAUAAAUUAUGAAAAUGUACAAGUUUGUAGUAUAUUACAGUACAAGGGCUUUUGUGUCAUGUUUUACACAAAUUUUGAAAAAGUUUUUCAGAGAUGGGUUGAUGAAGAAACAUGAGACGAACCAAUUUUUUUUUACUUGGUGAUUCGUCAACUAAUGACAGUAAAAAAAUUGUAUUUCUGUAAAAAAGAAAAAAAAAAUUAUUUAUGUAAAAAUUGUUUCUCUAGUCCAUAUAAAAUAUAACAUUUUCAUUUAUACCACAGUUUCAACCCAUAAAUUACCAUUAUACCCUUCAGCAAUAGUACCUUAUUUCAAAAUAGUACCUACCAGUCAAGUAAUACAAAAUACAAUCAACUAAUAAUAAAGAAGAAAAAAUAUAACAAAAAACAGAAACAAAAAUGUAUUUCUAUAAAAUGUGACAGAAAUGCCCCCGAACUCAGAAAACAGAAAUAUAAAUUUUUAUUUCUAUUCGUAUUGGUUUUGAUUGUACUUUUAGCUUUCUUUGUGUAAUCCCUCAAUGAAUCUAAAAUAUAAACAAAAUAAAGGCAAAAUAAAUUUUGAAAAUGUACAGGUUUGUAGUAUAUUACAGUACAAAGGCUUUUCUGUCAUGUUUUACAUAAAUUUUGAAAAAGUUUGUAAUAGAAAUUAAAUUAAUUUGAAAUUUGAAUGUAAUUUGUUAUUAGUGGCAAGUGAUUACAGGUUUUAAUAGGAAUAAUACCCUUUUUACCCCUUAAUUUAUAUUUGAUCAUGUUAUACGAUUUAUUAAUUGUAAAGGCCAAAUUUGUAUUUGUGGUUCUAUCUUUAUGUGCCUAUAUUUGUAUGUGAAUCAAUCUUUGUACUUCCAUCAAUAACUCAAUUUUUUUUUUCUGCAUUUUUUAACUAUGUUUGUAUACUCCAAUUGUGGUUCUAUAUUAGUAAAAUACCGUAUUUACCCUUGUGCAUAUCUGUUUAUGUGUCUGUAUUUCACUCUAUCUUUAUGUUUGUUUUACAUUUUUAAACUAUGAAAUAUACUCCAAUUUCGAUUUUUUUCAUUCUUUAACUAUGAAGUAUAUCAAAUUGGACUAAUUUACCCCUACCCCUGCCUGGAUUUUUAUUAAUUUACGGUUUAUUUUGUGUAAGCCCUUGCUUCUCAAUGUCCUUUGUUGUUGUUGCUUCUCAAUGUCCUUUGACCAUUCUUUGUAUCUGGGAAUCCACAUUUUUAACAAUGACCUAAACAGAAAACAUAGAACUAAAAUAAGAACAGCAAAAAACGACUGCAAAAAAAAUCAUAAGAAAUUACAACAAAAAGUUGCACUAAAAUAACAAGUUAAAAAUUUAGACAUCAGGACUUUGAAAAUUGUAAAAACUAAUUGGUAUGCACGCAACUAAAGCUGAAUUUUAACUCAGUUUAUUGCUCUAAUAUCUCUAACUGCUAGACUUAUAACAAAAUACAAACUUGUCUCUUAAGCAUAAUGGUGCAUCUCAUGAUAAAAAGCCAUUAAUGAUCCUUAUGAAACAAUUGGAGAUUUGAAAUCAUGAAACCAUCGUCUUUUUUUUUUCAAUCUCAUUUCACACUUUCAAAGGUUCAAAAAACUAAAUAAGAAACAGCUUCAAUUACCAGUGAAUCGGAGGUAAUCAGUAGCCUUUUGUACUUUGCUAAAAUUUCAUUAGAAAAGCCCAAAUCUGACUUUGUGGUUCUAUAAUAGCAUUUCUGUACAAUCAAUAGAAGCGUUUCAUUUUGAAUUUCGAUUUUUUGUAUUUUUUAACUAUUAAAUAUACUCCAAUUGUUUUGAAUUUCGAUUUUCUGCAUUUUUUUAACUAUGUUUGUAUACUAUAAUUGUGGUUCUAUAUUGGUAAAAUAUCGUAUUUAACCUUGGGCAUAUCUGCGUAUGUGUCUAUAUGUCACCAUAUCUAUAUGUUUGUUUUACAUUUUUAAACUAUGAAAUAUACUCCAAUUUUGAUUUUUUGCAUUCUUUAAGUAUGGAGUAAAUCAAAUUGGACUAAUAUACCCCUACCCCUGCCUGGAUUUUUAUUAAUUUAAGGUUUAUUUUGUGUAAGCCCCUGCUUCUCAAUGUCGUUUGUUGCUGUUGUUAUUUAUCUUUAUAUUAGUAAAAUACCAUUAUUACCCUUUAUGUCUAUUUUAUUAGAGGAUAUGGUUUUUUAAUUGUAAAGGCCGAAUUUUUCUUUGUGGUUCUAUAUUAGCAUUUUUUUAACUAUUAAAUAUACUCCAAUUGUAUUGAUUUUCAAUUUUCUGAAUUUUUUAACUAUGUUUGUAUACUCCAAAUUUGUAGUUUUUUUAUUUAUUAUAGUACAAUCUUAAUGCUUGUAGUUUCUUUAUUUAUUAUAGUACAAUCUUAAUGUUUGUGUUGCAUUGAUUCAGUUUGUGAUUGAAGUGUUAUAUAAUAAUCCAAGGACAUAAUGGUAAUAUUCACUCAACAAAAAUUACCAUUAAUAUAUUUUCUCUUAUUUUUCUUAUAUUUCAGAUAUUAACAAUUAACAUGGAUGUUUAUAAGACUAAUAAGAAGAUAAAAUUCAAUAAUUUCUAUCUUGAUAAUAAAAACAUAUACCGAUGUACACUACAUCAGUCGAUCAAAUUCUAUGUUCUACAAAUGUUAGUAACCCGGGAUCUAACGGUACGUUCAAUAAAUUUGUUAUUGUUUUCUUUAUAAAUUUUUUAAAUCUCAAUUAGCACUAUUUUAUGUCUCUCUCUCU
rnacentral:lncRNA from 1 species